rnacentral:rRNA from 1 species
AGAGUUUGAUCAUGGCUCAGAACGAACGCUGGCGGCAGGCCUCAAACAUGCAAGUCUAGGGGGUGCAGCAAUGCAUCACCGGCGGACGGGUGCGUAACGCGUGGGAAUGUACCUAUUGGUUCGGAACAACUGAGGGAAACUUCAGCUAAUACCGGAUGAGCCCGAAAGGGGAAAGAUUUCUCGCCAAUGGAUCAGCCCGC